ACAUCCAUAACUAAGUAUCAAUAGGAAAUACUGCACCCACAUUUCCUAAGAGAGAACAUAUAAUUCAAGAAUUAGAAAUACAUUUUCAUGCAUGGCAAAGGUAGGAAUCUAUUUUGCUUAACCAACUGUGUACCUGUUACACUUGUUUGCUGCUGCUGCUACUGGCUU